GGUCCCAGCAUUGUUUCCUCAGGAGCCUUGCUGCCUCCCAGCACCCAGCGACGGCUGCUGGACUCCAGGCUCUGCAGAGGGGCAGAGCUGGAAACAAUGGGAAGAAAUUGCAAAGAGAUAGACUCCUUCCUUGAUGUAAGAAACAACUUCCUAAUAAUUAAGAGCAGUCCGAAAGUGGAAUGGGUGGCCUCAGGAGACCAUGAGCUGUCCAUCACUAGAGCUCUUCAGUUUUACAGAUCCUCGUAUCCUGCUGUGGAUUUGGAAAAGGAAAUUGGAAUCUUGGAACACUCUCAGAAUUGAGUAAUUUAAGCCAGGUUGACAUUGAGUUUGAUAGAUUAAUUAAGCAUGAUUAUUAUCCAUGCCACAGUUGACCUGCCUUUUGCAUUGUAAUUGAUGGACAACAGUGACAUUAAAACUGAUCAAUACCCUGUGCUGACUUUUGAAUGCAAAACAGCAAAGAAUGUGAAAAUUGGGAGAUAGAUGCAUGAAGUUUUUUUCCAUGUAGAUAAUUUGGAGGUGUAUUCAACUGGCCUAUUAUUGAACUCAUGUCACUAUGUGUUAUUUGUUUGUAAGAUUAUUUUAU